UAAAAGCUUAUCAUUAAAUCUUAAUAAUAAUUAAUAAAUAAAUAAAAACUUCAUUUUUCAUAAAUUAAAAAAAAAAAAAAUUCAUAUAAAAUGCCAAACGCCCAAACCACAUCUCAAAAGUCAAGACUUCCUCCACCAUUAAUUGUUUACAUUCUCCUCAGGGAGAGAGAGAGAAAAAUCCUUCUACCUAGAGUAAUUUCAGAUCAUCUAGGACCAUUUGCCCAAAGCCUUUUCGGGUCGAUCUGGUAGUCUUGGAGCUCCGGUUUCGUCGGGUCGUCCGAGUUCCAACGGUAGAUUGAGAAGGCUUCCAGAGAUGUAGAGGUGCGUGUGCUGAUAGUUCGACUUGCUGAGACUCUGUAAGAGUGGUGAAAGGUAUGGCUUUAAUGCCAUAGAGCAAGGAAGCCUCAACGGUGACGCUAUAAAUGACACGUGGUAAGACAUUUGAGCCAUAAAGCUAAGUUCCCUUGCUACAACCAUCAAAGUCCACGUCUAAAAGGAUUGUCAAGUGCCAGAUCAAGCACUGUACUUGCUCUUUUUAGUUGAUCAGCCAUAUCAACAGUGGUUGAUCCUCCCCUGCAUAUCUGCCUUCGUUACUGUGCAGCUGUAAUAAUGUUUUAAUUUCACUGUAUCAAGCAUAUGAACCUGUUGUAAACAUGAUAAGUAAACGGGUGAUGUUUUACUUAAAUUGUAUUUUAUAUUUAGUGUGAUUAAGUAUGGCAUGUAUUUUACUGAUAUAUUUGCAUUUGAUGGUUUUGAAUUUAGCUAAAAAUUCUAUUUUUUGA